rnacentral:lncRNA from 1 species
UUUCAUAGCAAUCGUGUACAAUGAACAAACAACUUUGGCAUGCAUGGUCACUCCGAUCUGACUAUGCUUCCAAUCUAUCAACCAAUGCAAUGCCUACAAUCCUAUAGUUAUUCAUUCAUUAUGCAAGAAAGAAAGUUGCAUGCCAAAGAGCAAGGCGGAUGCCCGAGGUCAAGAAUGGCAUGGCUUUCAGCAGCAGCAUCCACCAUGACGGUUCCCUGGUUCUUUCGGUUCUGGUACACACAUACCACCACAAGAAAAUGACUGUUCUUGCUACUGCCGCAGGGCCAGAGAGGAGUCGCUCCUGUAUAUCAUAUUCAGGGGAAUCAGAAGAUAGAUGAAGAGGGCAAAAUGGGAUGAACAAGAACACUAGCUCACAUGGAAUCAUGUUUUUGAGUUUACACUCCCUAUUGUCUGUCCGACGAACCAACUAGCAACCAAACUACUUGCUAACUGCUACCCAAGCUAGCGGCUAACGGAUAAAAGAGAAUGCCUAGUUGUAUCUGAUUGAAUGACCGCUAUCGGGUCAAACUAGCAACAAGAGUCACAUAAGUACUAUGAGA